AGUUUGAUCCUGGCUCAGAUUGAACGCUGGCGGCAGGCCUAACACAUGCAAGUCGAGCGGUUGACGGGAGCUUGCUCCCUGAUUCAGCGGCGGACGGGUGAGUAAUGCCUAGGAAUCUGCCUAUUAGUGGGGGACAACGUUUCGAAAGGAACGCUAAUACCGCAUACGUCCUACGGGAGAAAGCAGGGGACCUUCGGGCCUUGCGCUAAUAGAUGAGCCUAGGUCGGAUUAGCUAGUUGGUGAGGUAAUGGCUCACCAAGGCGACGAUCCGUAACUGGUCUGAGAGGAUGAUCAGUCACACUGGAACUGAGACACGGUCCAGACUCCUACGGGAGGCAGCAGUGGGGAAUAUUGGACAAUGGGCGAAAGCCUGAUCCAGCCAUGCCGCGUGUGUGAAGAAGGUCUUCGGAUUGUAAAGCACUUUAAGUUGGGAGGAAGGGCAGUAACCUAAUACGUUAUUGUUUUGACGUUACCGACAGAAUAAGCACCGGCUAACUCUGUGCCAGCAGCCGCGGUAA
rnacentral:rRNA from 1 species